rnacentral:lncRNA from 1 species
AGUUUAGGCUAGUUAAUUGUGUCUUUUCUCUAAAUAGAGCACAACAAACGUGGGUGUUUUCAUACCAAUAAAUACUCUUCAAUAUUCCUACCAUUGCCACAAAUGGGAACGUAAUGUCGUGCGUGUUUUCUACAGGUAGCCUUGCAUUCUUUGCGUCCCUAGAAACAACGUCGACGUGCACAAGCAAGGUCACGCAUCAUAAAUGCCGUUUAUUCUAAAACAAAGAGUGCUUUACCGAAACACAGUAUGCAUCGGAGGCAGAAAAUUUAUUCAAGCUCUGAAGUCCCAAACAACUGAAAAUGCUCCAAAACACCAUCACGUGACCCUGGUAUUCUCAAAGUGCUGGUGAAAGUGUUUGUUUUGUAGGCCUAAAUGUUUGUUGAUAGUAGAGAGGCGGACUGAUAGACUUUAUAACAAGUCAUGAUCAACAUUCCCCAACUGUUAGUUAAUUACACUGUAGCAGGCACUACAUCUGCCUAUGAGCAAUGGACAGAACUGAGAAUACCUUAUCAUGAACCGUAGUGAACACUGCUGGAAACAUCCUGUUUUAGGAUCGUUUUCUUCACAUACAAGCCCCACCAGUGCAGUUGGCACACAACAGCAUCCCUCCUGAUCAAGUGAAAAGGAAUCCUAUGACACCGCUUGAUCUUUGUCUGACAUGGAAAUCUGCAAAUCAAAUAAGGUGGAAGAAUAACAUCUGGUUAAAAAAUUUAUGUGGAAAAAUAUCUGCUUUAAAGUGAUGUCAUGAACUGGACGCUGCACUCUUGAUUCCAACACUAAUAUUGUCAUGACCAAAUGUUAAAGUUCAUAUUCAGCAAGUUGAAGAUAACUGACACCAUCUUUAAGUAUAAGUUGCACAAAUAUGGUAUUCAGAAGUUUUUUGUUUACACUACUGAUGUAUAUAUAGUAUAAAAAAAUGGAUUUCUGUAAUAGAAUAAAGUAUUGGAAUACA